AUUGAACGCUGGCGGCAUGCCUUACACAUGCAAGUCGAACGGCAGCACGGGUGCUUGCACCUGGUGGCGAGUGGCGAACGGGUGAGUAAUACAUCGGAACAUGUCCUGUAGUGGGGGAUAGCCCGGCGAAAGCCGGAUUAAUACCGCAUACGAUCUACGGAUGAAAGCGGGGGACCUUCGGGCCUCGCGCUAUAGGGUUGGCCGAUGGCGGAUUAGCUAGUUGGUGGGGUAAAGGCCUACCAAGGCGACGAUCAGUAGCUGGUCUGAGAGGACGAUCAGCCACACUGGGACUGAGACACGGCCCAGACUCCUACGGGAGGCAGCAGUGGGGAAUUUUGGACAAUGGGCGAAAGCCUGAUCCAGCAAUGCCGCGUGUGUGAAGAAGGCCUUCGGGUUGUAAAGCACUUUUGUCCGGAAAGAAAUCCUUGGCCCUAAUACGGUCGGGGGAUGACGGUACCGGAAGAAUAAGCACCGGCUAACUACGUG
rnacentral:rRNA from 1 species